AUGUACAAAGAUAGAGAAGCAUUGUUUCUAGAUCUGAGUAUAUCAAUAUUACCUUGUUCAGAACUUAAAGAGAAAUCUUGAGUUUAUGGACUUCAGGGGGAGUAUGGUCACAAGGCUGAAACUUAAAGGAAUUGACGGAAGGGCACACCAGGAGUGGAGCCUGCGGCUUAAUUUGACUCAACACGGGAAAACUUACCAAGACCGAACAGUAGAAGGAAUGACAGAUUAAGAGUUCUUUCAUGAUUUAUUGGGUAGUGGUGCAUGGCCGUUCUUAGUUGGUGGAGUGAUUUGUCAGGUUAAUUCCGGUAACGAACGAGACUGAAACCUAUUAAUUAGUUUUCUGCCUAUAAGACAGAAAUGUUCGCAAGAACAGGUGCGUAAGUACCACUUCUUAAAGGGACACAUUUCAAUUGUCCU
rnacentral:rRNA from 1 species